rnacentral:rRNA from 1 species
UACAGAGGUCCCGAGCGUUGUUCGGAUUCAUUGGGCGUAAAGGGUGCGUAGGCGGCGGGGCAAGUCUGAUGUGAAAUCCCGGGGCUCAACCCCGGAACUGCAUUGGAUACUGCCUUGCUCGAGUACUGGAGAGGGAACUGGAAUUUACGGUGUAGCAGUGAAAUGCGUAGAGAUCGUAAGGAAGGCCAGUGGCGAAGGCGACUACCUGGCCUGUUCUUGACGCUGAGGCGCGAAAGCCAGGGGAGCAAACGGG